GACGAACGCUGGCGGCGAGCUUAACACAUGCAAGUCGAACGGAAAGGCCCUGCUUUUGUGGGGUGCUCGAGUGGCGAACGGGUGAGUAACACGUGAGUAACCUGCCCUUGACUUUGGGAUAACUUCAGGAAACUGGGGCUAAUACCGGAUUGGAGCUCCUGCUGCCUGGUGGGGGUUGGAAAGUUUCGGCGGUGGGGGAUGGACUCGCGGCUUAUCAGCUUGUUGGUGGGGUAGUGGCUUACCAAGGCUUUGACGGGUAGCCGGCCUGAGAGGGUGACCGGCCACAUUGGGACUGAGAUACGGCCCAGACUCCUACGGGAGGCAGCAGUGGGGAAUAUUGCACAAUGGGCUGAAGCCUGAUGCAGCAACGCCGCGUGCGGGAUGACGGCCUUCGGGUUGUAAACCGCUUUCGCCUGUGACGAAGCGUGAGUGACGGUAAUGGGUAAAGAAGCACCGGCUAACUACGUGCCAGCCGCCGCCGUAACAC
rnacentral:rRNA from 1 species